rnacentral:rRNA from 1 species
UACGGAGGGUGCAAGCGUUGUCCGGAUUUAUUGGGUUUAAAGGGUGCGUAGGCGGAUUAUUAAGUCAGUGGUGAAAGUUUGCGGCUCAACCGUAAAAGUGCCAUUGAUACUGGUAGUCUUGAGUACAGUAGAGGUAGGCGGAAUUUAUGGUGUAGCGGUGAAAUGCAUAGAUACCAUAAAGAACACCGAUAGCGAAGGCAGCUUACUAUGCUGUAACUGACGCUGAGGCACGAAAGCGUGGGGAGCGAACAGG